rnacentral:lncRNA from 1 species
UCAUUUCUGAUUAAUUAACUCUCUCUCUUCUAGAGAGUUCUCUCAGACGCUCCUCCUUCUCUCUAAAUUCUCUCACUAGAUUCUUCAUGAUUGUUCAGUUUAAUCUCAAAGUUUUCAUGGUAUCAGAGCCUAGACGACGAUCCGACUAUGUUUUUCUGCAUCUCGUUGUCUUGGUUAAGUCUCCUUUGAGAUUUUUGGGGUGUUUCUGAGACUCCAUGACGAUUCCGAUCUAAAACGGAUGCCUUUCUGAGUUUUUCAUCGUGAUAUCUGAGUGUAUUUUUUUCACUCGAACGUUCUGGGAGAUUUUCCAAUGAUUUUUGGGUAAUUUUUCGGUGACCUAUCGGCUUCUAGGGUUUCUGGUGGUUUAACCUAGAGGUUUACUGCUAUCCGGUGGCUCGAUUCUCACUCAGUGGAUGUUUUUCAUCGUGAUAUCUGAGUGUAUUUUUUUCACUCGAACGUUCUGGGAGAUUUUCCAAUGAUUUUUGGGUAAUUUUUCGGUGACCUAUCGGCUUCUAGGGUUUCUGGUGGUUUAACCUAGAGUUUUACUGCUAUCCGGUGGCUUGAUUCUCACUCAGUG